AGUGAACGCUGGCGGUGUGCCUAACACAUGCAAGUCGAACGACAGCACACUGAGAGCUUGCUCGUACGGGUGGGGAAUGGCGGACGGGUGAGGAAUACAUCGGCAUCUAAUUUUUCGUAAGGGAGAACGAAGGGGAACUUACUCUCAUCCCGCAUACGGCCAACGAGGGCAAGCAGGGGAGCUGCUGGGCUUGCGCUCUUGAAGCAGCCGGUGGGGGAUUAGCCAGUUGGCGGGGUAAAGGCCCAACAAGGCGACGAACCGUAGCUGGUCUGGGUGGACGAUCAGCCAGACUGGAACUGAGCAACGGCCCUGAGUCCCACGGGAGGCAGCAGUGGGGAAUAGUAGACAAUGGGCGCAAGCAUUAUACAGCAGUCCGGCGUGGGUGAAGAAGGUGUUCGAGGUGUGAAGCCCGUUUGUUGGGAAAGAAAAGAAGCAGGAUAAUACCGCGCGGUUGUGACGGUACCCAAAGAAUAAGCACCGGCUAACUCCGUG
rnacentral:rRNA from 1 species